UACGUAGGGGGCGAGCGUUGUCCGGAUUUAUUGGGCGUAAAGAGCUCGUAGGCGGCUUAGCAAGUCGGGUGUGAAAACUCCAGGCUCAACCUGGAGACGCCACUCGAGACUGCUAUGGCUAGAGUCCGGUAGGGGACCACGGAAUUCCUGGUGUAGCGGUGAAAUGCGCAGAUAUCAGGAGGAACACCGGUGGCGAAGGCGGGAUCCUGGGCCAGUACUGACGCUGAGGAGCGAAAGCGUGGGGAGCAAACAGG
rnacentral:rRNA from 1 species